CGCGUGUGCUUGUCUUCCUGAGUAUCUGGUAUGUGAUUGUUUCUCUGCGCUGUCACCGUAGAAUAAGAAUGACGAAAACCUUUUUGCACUACUCACGUCUAACUCCAGUUGGUUAGCUCAGUUGGCAAAGCGCUCCCCUAGAAAUGGUGAGGUGCCUGGUUCGAUACUACGACCAGGCGGAUUGUUUCGGUCGCGCACCAGCACCUAGCUGUGUUUGGAGAUUUGUGUUUGUCAUUUGUCCCCCUUAAUUGUUCGCCUUUUCCAUGGAUUAUUUUCGCCAUGUAAUAUAUAUAAUGAAAAAACUUCAAUGUUUACUGUAAAUUUGAAGAAUUCCACAGGAAUACAAUUUGGCAAUAUCGACUUCAUCCGUUGAAUUAAGAGAAAUCAAAUAUUUCUUAAUUGUUUUUUUUUUCUUUAGAUUUGAAUAGGGAAGAGGUCUUGGUGGUCGUUCCUUAUUUAUGCUGAGAGCUAUCUGCUGUCACCUUCGAACGGCCCCUAGAAUACUAUCAGUAAACGUGUUGACUUCAACGUGAGUUUUAUAUCACAGAUUUUCAUUUCAUUUCAUUUAUUGGUACCCUCAGGGCCCGAAGGCAUUACAGAGGGGGUGGGAUUAUUACGUACAAGUUAAUGGAACUCUCAAAUCACAAUCAACUUCUAGUAGUAUUGAUACAGCUUUUUUUAAAUCAACAGGAUUAACAAUUGUGGCGAUGGAUGUGGAAAGGUGAUUCCAGUCAGCAGACGUACGAGAUGUUAUUGACUGGCAUGAAAUCGAAGAAUUUAGAGACGCUUCCCAGACAACACCAGACAUCCUCAGGACGUCCUCGAAAGACCAUCUUAGCUUUCUGCUGUGACCGUCAUCAGAAAUCAAUCUUUUACGAGCAGUGAAAUCAAAUGUUGAGUGCGCAAACAAAGCUGACGUGGAGACCAUCAUCAAAGUAUGCCUGCGCCACGCUGGAGAGAAACUGAAAAAGCUGCAGUCAAAGGCCGCAGAUGUUAGACACGAUGAUCCCGCUGACUAUUGACUAGUGCUGGCCAAGAUGCGAAG